UUACCGCAUUCACUGCUUGUAUAUCUUAAAUAAAAUAUAAUGAUCCAUUUUUUUUAGGCACUAUAAACCAUCGACUACAAUAUGGUGUAAAAAAGGGCUCCAAAAUCUUCAUCUUCAUCUUUUCUUAUAAUAAUUCCACCAAAUUUGGUAAAUAAGCCCUUGGUAUUGGAAUUAGUCUUAGAUUCCAAAGUACAUGUGGUACAAUAAAAAUAACCAUAGGCGUUACAAUAUUUGGAUCCACACAUCCAAUUUCAUAAGAUUCAAAGGCAAAUGAUCUACCAUAUUUUGUCAACAUCUC
rnacentral:lncRNA from 1 species